GGGGCAUAAAAAAAGGGAUAAGGUGCAAAGAUUGAUUGCCUAUUCAAAUUCAAACUUUAUUUUGAAUUUGAAUGGCCAACCAAUCAUCCUUAUCCAUUCAUUUGGCACAUUAAAGUGGGGUGUGGAGAGGGCUUGGCGUGAGGAAAUAAUUCAUGAGAAGUUCCUUCUCAUGAAUUCAAAUGGAUGCAAUGAAAGUGAGGUGGCGCAUGG
rnacentral:lncRNA from 1 species